rnacentral:lncRNA from 1 species
CUCUCUCCCCAACGUCUCUUUUUCCCCCCCAGCUCACCGCUCCCCUCGCCCCCCUCCCCCGGCGACCUCUCCACCCCGGAGGCCACCCCCUCUGACGGCAGAAAAACCCCACUGGCAUCCCCGACGAACCGCCGAUAGCCACAGGUAAGUACCCCUCUCUCUCCUCGGAAUCGUCAACAGUGGUCUCUCACGGUGGUCUUUCUUCGACACCUCCUUCACCACCGAGACAUACACCGUCAGGCGCACAACCCUUGCGAGUUUCAUCGCUGGAAACCGCCGCACGCGCCGCCGCUGACUGCUCAUGCGCCGCCGACGACGACCACGCGCCGCGCGCGUGACACUGUUCCGGGCAGUUUUUCGGCGGGCUUCUUUUGGACAGUUUUUUCCCCACUCAUUUUCGACCAACUCGGUACUUUCGGAAUAUUUAUCCGCUCACUUUCAUUGUUUCUCAUAUUGUUUUCUUGUCAUUUUCACUUUCUCUGUUUCCCUUUUCACGCGUGUUUCAUUUCCUCUGUUUUUAAUUUACUUGUGUAGUAAUUUUCAUUUUUGUUGCUGUUUCUCUUAUUUGUUAUCCAUAUUUGCUGCGUGUGUUUCUUAAAACUAUAAAUUUCCGUGACUUUGAUUUUUGNNNN